rnacentral:lncRNA from 10 species
GAUUGCCUCCUUUGGAAAGGCUAAUCAGAUGCUCAAAAGAAUGCAACCAUUUGUCUCUUAUAUACUUAUGACCUGGAAGCUCCCUUCCAGCUUCAAGUCUUCCCGCCUUUGCUUGAGUUGUCCCACCUUUCCAGACCAAACCAAUGUUCAUCUUGCAUAUAUUGAUUAACACCUCAUGUCUCCCUAAAACGUACAAAACCAAACUGUGCUCUGACCACCUUGGGCACAUGUCGUCAGGACCUCCUGAGGUGUGUCACAGGCACGUGUCCUCAACUUUGGCAAAAUAAACUUUCUAAAUUACCUGAAACCUGUCUCAGAUUUUCAGGGUUGACAUUUUGGUAACCACAGAGGGAUUCUGAGUAGAGGUACCCCUGACCUUUGACAAAUCUAUCAGUGCUUAGUACCAGCAUGAGCUAAUUUUAUGGCUCAAACCAACAGGACAAUUUGCUGAGGUCUGGGAGUACACCCUCCAGAGAAUCCCUGAUCUCCCCAAAUCUGGUCAAAAUCUAAAGUUUAUUUUGCUGUAGAACUCCCCCCACCUUUUUGUUUUUUGGAGUUUUACUUGAUUCCAACAAGGAAUGCAAGAUUUCCUGUUUCCAUGACGAUGGAAGGCAGGUAACUCCUUUAUGGAGUUUGAGCUCACUCCCAGCAGGGAAUAUGAGUUUAACAUUUUUUGUUGUUUUUUUCCUCCUGCUUCUAGAGCGGUAGAAAGCAGUCUUUAGCCUGAGACCCAUCCCUAGGUAAGUAGUUGAAUUGGGGUUUUCUCUUGUCUAAAGCUUAAUAACU